GAAUAGAAUUUAUUUACUUCAAGCAAAUACAAUGCCAAGAAGGGACUUGGUUUACACUUGAAAACUUAACCAUGCAUCCAUCCAUACCUUACCUACUUAUUAAUUUUAACCUAGUUUGAGUUUCUAAAAUCCUAUUUCUUAGAGACCUAAAUAUUGAUUAUCAUGUACGCUUAUCUUUAUCUUAAACGCAGAUAGUUAUUUAUUUCUUAUUUUCCUUAUUUCCUAGUUUUUUAAAUUUUAUAUUUUACAUUUUACAUUUUUACCUUUUUUACAUUAGUCCUAUACCUAUGUAUAACAUGUUCUAAAUGCCUUAAUAAUAUUAUUACUAGCUUCUAUUUUUAUUUCAUUCCCUACUUGUCUUUUUCUUCUUUUUAGUUUUCCAGAGUUUUUUUAGAAUCUUUCCUUUCUCUAUUUCUAGCUCAUCAUCGUAAAUUUUCUUAUAUAUCUCACUAUUACUACUCCCUAGCUCUACAAACCAGUCUUUAGUCUCUGUACAGUCUUCUAUAUAAUGUUUCAUACAGUCUUCUCCUUGUCCACACAAUAUACAUUGCCAAGCAGUCUCAUUCAACCAAUAUUUGUUCGCUUCUUCUAAAUUACUGCACCUUAGCUUAAUCAAUGCUCUAAUUUCCACACCUCUACCUACAUCAUCUAAGUUGUUCUUAUCAAGAUAUGGCUAGGCCCUUUCUCUCCUAAGUCUAAAUCUUUAUAAGUUUUGUUGUACCUUGCCAUACAGAUUUUACUGUCUUCCCAUGUUCUUUGACUAGUCUGUUCCCUGAGAAUUAUCUGGUCCUUUAUAUUCUCUCUAUUUCUCCUAAUAAUUUCUAAAUCCUCUAGAUCCCAAUCAUACUGCAUAAAAAUAUAAUUUAUAAUAAUUUAAUUUAAUAUAUAUUAUAAUUAAUAAAUUAACUAUUAUCAAGAUAGAAAUGUCUCUGGUUUUCUAAUGCGCGCGGCUCAUCGAGUCAAAAAGAAUUAAGCGCAAUAUAAUUAACUAACUCAUGAGAACGAGUCCGAUAAGACUCGACGACCUCUGCGGUAACAAACAAGAUGCUUUAUCACAGCUGCACGCGCUUAUCGCGACUCGCGCUUAUAAGUACGAAUCUCGGCUUUAAUUACUCAUCAAUUUUGAUAACGCGCUGCCAGGCGCCACACUCUCUCUUUCUCUCACGUGCGUUUCUCUCGACGGCGGUGAACAAUGCUACCAGCGGCAAAAUCCGAGAUAGAUAUGCGCAAGGUGGAGACCCCGCGGAGCAUCAUCGUCGACUGCGACGCCGGCAUCGACGACGCUCUCGCCCUGAUCGUCCUCCUGGCCGGUCACACGAACAGGAGACUCAGCAUCAAGGCCAUCACCUGCGUCAACGGUAACACCAAAGUGGACAACGUCGUGAAAAACGUGUUCAGAACGCUGCACACGUGCGGCUGCACGGACAUACCUGUUUAUCAAGGAGCGUACUCAUCUCUGCUGGACACACCGAACGCCAAGGAAACGGCAUUGGAGGAAUAUCACGGAACCGAUGGAUUCGGAGACGCGUUUACCGACGAUCCGGACACGAGUAAGCUGCAGAAGGAGCACGCCGUGUGCGCUUUGCAUAGAAUCACGUCGGAAGAUCCAGGUAACAUUUCCGUGGUCUGCAUGGGUCCCCUGACGAACAUAGCGAUGGCUAUGAAAAUGUAUCCAGAGUUCUCUCACAAUGUGAGAGAAUUUUUCGUGAUGGGUGGAAAUUCAACUGCACAGGGUAACGUAACUGCGCAAGCGGAAUUUAAUUUCUACGCGGAUCCGGAAAGCGUGCACAUCGUGCUCAACAGCAACAGCAACAAGCCUCUGUGGUUGCUACCGUGGGAAUCCUGUUUAGAGACCAGAGUAACACAUGAGUGGCGAAAAGAUGUACUGGGCGUGAUAGACAAGCCCUGCGUGCACAUGAUGAACGCAAUCGAGGACGGUAGACGUUCGCAAGUGAAGAAGUUUUUUCCAUAUUACACUAUGUGUGACGCUUUUCUAGCUGGGAUCGUGAUGGUUCCUCACAUGGCCAAGAAUGUCGUUACGUGGCACGCGGACAUCGAGUUAAGCGGCAAUCGAACCCGGGGCCAAGUUGUUCUCGAUCAUCUGCUGUCAAACAAACCGAACGUGAAUUUGAUCAACAGUUUCGAUUCCGAGAUUUUUAAGAAGAUAUUAUUAGACGCGGUGAACACGAUUCACGAUUAUCGGCAAUAACAAAUACGAUUGCACGAAAAGACGAGACAUUCCAAGAAAAUAAAGAGACAUGUAGAGAUAAGAGACUAAAGAAUUUAUUUUCGAAAACACAUUAAGGAAAGCAGGAUGGAUUUAAUGGCUCUGGUACAUGAUUUUACAGCGGCACCAAUUACCCAGACAGAAAGUUAUUUUCGAGAAACAUAUACUAUUUUUAUUAUGAAAAAUUGAUGUAAUGUUAAAAAUUGUGAAAGAUGCGUAUUCCAACUACUGAUUAAUUUUCCAUUUGAUUAUCUUAGAAAUAAAAAGAGAUAAACUCACGAAAA